CAUUUGACUGAUCACCUGACUGUGACAUCAUCGCAGGUCCUUUACACACAUGGUUCCUGUACUGCUCUGUGUGUGGAGGAGAAGAUAUGAACAAUAUUAAUGUUCUAAAGACAGAUGUGAGCAGUGACGAGCAGUAUAAGGAGGACCUUCCUACAAGGAAGGAUCUUAAAUAUAUUAAUGCUUCAGACAUGAAGGAAGAAGAAGAGGAGGAGACAUAUGUGAGCGGUGAUGAGCAGGAUAUGGAGGACGUUCCUAUAGGGAAAGAUCCAAUCUAUAUUAAUGCUGCAGACCUAAAGGAAGAAGAAGAGGAAACGGACAUGAGCGGUGAUGAGCAGUAUAAGGAUGACAUUCCUACAGGGAAAGAUCUGAUGUAUAUUAAUGAUACACACAUAAAGGAAGAAGAGGAGACAGAUGUGAGCGGUGAUGAGCAGUAUAAGGAGGACAUUCCUACAGGGAAAGAUCUGAACUAUAUUAAUGCUACAGACAUAAAGGAAGAAGAAGAAGAGACAGAUGUGAGCAGUGAUGAGCAGUAUAAGGAGGACAUUCCUACAGGGAAAGAUCCAAUCUAUAUUAAUGCUACAGACAUAAAGGAAGAAGAAGAGACAUAUGUGAGCGGUGAUGAGCAGUAUAAGGACAUUCCUACAGGGAAAGAUCUGAUAUAUAUUAAUGCUAAAGACAUAAAGGAAGAAGAAAAGACAGAUGUGAGCGGUGAUGAGCAGUAUAAGGAGGACAUUCCUACAGGUAACCAUCCAGAUGACUGUACCAGGAGAUCAGAGGAGAAUCUUAUAUCUUCAGAUUAUAAAGCAGAUGAUGAUAUCACACAAGAUACAUAUGAAGAACAUUCCAUUAUCCCAGAUACACCCUCAGCCCUUCACAGCCAAGAUCUCUCAUCUCAUCCUGUUAUACAAGUCCAACCUAAAGAUUCAUCUCAGUCUGUUAAGAAAAAUAAGGAAAAGCAGUUUUCAUGUUCAGAAUGUGGGAAAUGUUUUACUCGGAAUUCAUAUCUUGUUAAACAUCAAGUAACUCACACAGGAGAGAAGCCAUUUUCAUGUUCAGAAUGUGGAAAAUGUUUUACUCGGAAAUCAAGUAUUGUUAAGCAUCAAAGAAUUCACACAGGAGAGAAGCCAUUUUCAUGUUCAAAAUGUGGAAAAUGUUUCAGUCAGAAUUCAAUUCUUGUUGAACAUCGAAGAAUUCACACAGGUUUCUCCAAUCCAAGAUCCUCUGCUGAUAUCUUCUAUAUAAGAGAAUUCUUCUGGAUGACCCAUCAACCAUGGACAGAGACAGGAACAAGAUGGCCGACAGGAUCAUAAACCUCACCCUACAGAUACUCUUCCGGCUUACUGGAGAGGAUUACACAGUAGUGAAGAAGUCCUCUAGUGGGCGCUGUCGGGCCCCUGUGUGUGAAGGAUGGAAAAGAACCCUGAGCCCAAUCCCGGGGCCCCCACCUCACUCCCUGAUACAUGAGGAAAUGGAUGAACAGAAGAUCCUAGAACUCAUCAACAAGAUGAUGGAGCUGCUGACUGGAGAGGUUCCUAUAAGGUGUCAGGACGUGGCGGUCUAUUUCUCCAUGGAGGAGUGGGAGUAUGUAGAAGGACACAAGGAUCAGUACAAGGAUCAGGUGAUGAUGGAGGAUCAGCAGCCCCUCACAUCACCAGUCAGAUCCAGUAAGAGAACAGCACCAGAGAGGUGUCCCUGUCCUCUUGAUAAGCAGUAUAUGGAGGACGUUCCUAUGGGGAAAGAUCUGAUCUAUAUUAAUGCUACAGACAUAAGGAAAAAAGAAGAGACAGAUGUGAGCGGUGAUGAGCAGUAUAAGGAGGACAUUCCUAC